rnacentral:rRNA from 1 species
GAUAAACGCUGGCGGCGCACAUAAGACAUGCAAGUCGAACGGACUUAACCGAAAGUUUACUUUUGGAGCGGUUAGUGGCGGACUGGUGAGUAACACGUAAGCAACCUGCCUAUCAGAGGGGAACAACAGUUAGAAAUGACUGCUAAUACCGCAUAUGCCUAAGUACCACAUGGUGCAAUAGGGAAAGAAGCAAUUCGCUGAUAGAUGGGCUUGCGUCUGAUUAGAUAGUUGGUGAGGUAACGGCUCACCAAGGCUUCGAUACAUAGCCGACCUGAGAGGGUGAUCGGCCACACUGGGACUGAGACACGGCCCAG